rnacentral:rRNA from 1 species
UACGUAGGGUGCGAGCGUUAGGCGGAAUCACUGGGCUUAAAGCGUGUGUAGGUGGAUGCCUAAGUACCUUGUGAAGUCCCACGGCUUAACCGUGGAACUGCUUGGUAUACUGGGUGUCUUGAGUCACUCAGGGGCGAGCGGAACAAAUGGUGGAGCGGUGAAAUGCGUAGAUAUCAUUUGGAACGCCAAUGGUGAAAACAGCUCGCUGGGGGUGCACUGACACUGAGACACGAAAGCCAGGGGAGCGAACGGG